rnacentral:rRNA from 1 species
AUUGAACGCUGGCGGCAGGCCUAACACAUGCAAGUCGAGCGGAUGAAGGGAGCUUGCUCCUGGAUUCAGCGGCGGACGGGUGAGUAAUGCCUAGGAAUCUGCCUGGUAGUGGGGGAUAACGUCCGGAAACGGGCGCUAAUACCGCAUACGUCCUGAGGGAGAAAGUGGGGGAUCUUCGGACCCCACGCUAUCAGAUGAGCCUAGGUCGGAUUAGCUAGUUGGUGGGGUAAAGGCCUACCAAGGCGACGAUCCGUAACUGGUCUGAGAGGAUGAUCAGUCACACUGGAACUGAGACACGGUCCAGACUCCUACGGGAGGCAGCAGUGGGGAAUAUUAGACAAUGGGCGAAAGCCUGAUCCAGCCAUGCCGCGUGUGUGAAGAAGGUCUUCGGAUUGUAAAGCACUUUAAGUUGGGAGGAAGGGCAGUAAGUUAAUACCUUGCUGUUUUGACGUUACCAACGGAAUAAGCACCGGCUAACUUCGUG